GACGAACGCUGGCGGCGUGCUUAACACAUGCAAGUCGAACGGAAAGGCCCUGCUUUUGUGGGGUGCUCGAGUGGCGAACGGGUGAGUAACACGUGAGUAACCUGCCCUUGACUUUGGGAUAACUUCAGGAAACUGGGGCUAAUACCGGAUAGGAGCUCCUGCUGCAUGGUGGGAGUUGGAAAGUUUCGGCGGUUGGGGAUGGACUCGCGGCUUAUCAGCUUGUUGGUGGGGUAGUGGCUUACCAAGGCUUUGACGGGUAGCCGGCCUGAGAGGGUGACCGGCCACAUUGGGACUGAGAUACGGCCCAGACUCCGACGGGAGGCAGCAGUGGGGAAUAUUGCACAAUGGGCGGAAGCCUGAUGCAGCAACGCCGCGUGCGGGAUGACGGCCUUCGGGUUGUAAACCGCUUUCGCCUGUGACGAAGCGUGAGUGACGGUAAUGGGUAAAGAAGCACCGGCUAACUACGUG
rnacentral:rRNA from 1 species